rnacentral:rRNA from 1 species
UACGGAGGGUGCAAGCGUUAUCCGGAUUCACUGGGUUUAAAGGGUGUGUAGGCGGGUUAUUAAGUCAGUGGUGAAAUCUCCGGGCUCAACCCGGAAACUGCCAUUGAUACUAUUAGCCUUGAAUUCUGUUGAGGUGGGCGGAAUAUGUCAUGUAGCGGUGAAAUGCAUAGAUAUGACAUAGAGCACCAAUUGCGAAGGCAGCUCACUAAACAGCGAUUGACGCUGAGGCACGAAAGCGUGGGGAUCAAACAGG